UGCAGACCCUAAAGUACCCAAUUCACGGAAACAGAAGGGCAAAAGAGGACCAGGUGAUAAAAAGAGAGGAUUUCCAUGUUAUAUUGUUGCAUUAUCCCUGGGAGUUAUGUGUGUUAUCCUCCUGCUGGCAAUCACAGGCUUAAGAUCUAUAUUUUUUCAGAAAUGUCCUGCACACACAAUGCAGAAUAAGAAUGACACAAAAGAAAAAAAUGCUUCCUUAGGAGAGGUUGAAGAUGACU